rnacentral:rRNA from 1 species
UACGUAGGGUGCCGAGCGUUAAUCGGAAUUACUGGGCGUAAAGCGUGCGCAGGCGGUUAUAUAAGGCAGUUGUGAAAUCCCCGGGCUCAACCUGGGAAUUGCAUUUGUGACUGCACGGCUAGAGUGUGUCAGAGGGGGGUAGAAUUCCACGUGUAGCAGUGAAAUGCGUAGAGAUGUGGAGGAAUACCGAUGGCGAAGGCAGCCCCCUGGGAUAACACUGACGCUCAUGCACGAAAGCGUGGGGAGCAAACAGG